GCACUGAUGAAGCAUACAGCUGAUAGACCCCUUCAGAGAGGAAACCUGUCCAACAACAGAAAGCCUGGGUUGUGACGCCAUUGCACUGAUGAAGCAUACAGCUGAUGAAGCAAUUGUAAAGGAAAAGAUGAAGCAGACCUUCGCCUGUCACCAAAAGAUGUUCAUGACCCAGUGAAGUCCUCUGAAAUAUUCACAGCGUUUCCAAGAUUCCAAGACAUAGCAGGAAUGAUUGAGCAAGAUGUUAGUCUGUUCUUUGGUGAUGCAACCUCUGUAAAGUUCCUGGAGAAGUGGUUUACUCUCUACAAGCAGGAAGUCAUUGACCAAAGCCGUGGCCUCACACAGACAGGCGACCUGCAAGACCUGGUUCAAAAUGCUGGAUCCACAACAGAAGUGGAAAAUGGAUGUCAUCCAUUUUGGUCCUUGUCCACCUUCUGCCACCAUCACCUCAUGGACGCAAGAGACCAGGAAAAAUCUCAGCCAGACACACCAGUUACCACAUUGUGAAGUUUAUCAAGACUGGGACCAGCAUCCAGGGGCAUCUGGAGAGCGUCACGGAAAGCCUUCAACCCUAUCUGCUUGCUGUGGGGACCCAGAGGACUGGGAUUCACAAGUACUUCAUUGUAAUUGACAAACAUGUAAUACCGUGUAAGUCACCAGACUCUCUUGCCUGUUUUGAUGAGCUUUUCGAAGCUCAUUUUGUCUUCGGUACCUCGUACAAAGCAUCUUUAUAAAGCACAUGAACCUUGUUCUGAUCAUGGUGAAGGCCCCUCUACAGCUGAAUAUGUAGCAGUAAGUCAUUUUGAUGACUUGCCAUCAACAAGUUCCCCUUCUGACUCAGUCCUUGUCAAUAGGAGACUUGGAGACAGCUGCUCUGCAACCAUAGCUGAACUUAAAGUGGCAGGUGUAGGUGAAACAACCAUUAACUCUUUGGUCAUUUCCAUGGAAGAGAUAGUUGAUGAUAUUCAUAUUCAAGCUAAAGAAUCUGUGAAGAAGUGUCUGUCUAUACAGGAGCCUAUUAAAAGUGACAUUGAGUGUAAAAUGUAUGUGUUUUGAAAAAAUGUAAAAUCCUUUUGGUGUAUUAAAUUCUGAAAGUAAGAGAAGGCAGUAUUUUACAGAAAUGUGGGGAAGGGUAGACCCAGUUGAAUACAUUCUUGGUACAAGAUUUGAUACACAACGCAAUCGGACUACUGGAGGCUAUGAUGAAAUUGCUGUUACUGAUCAAUUUGUUUACAUCCUAAUUUUGAAAACAUGACAGUUUAUUUACAAACACCCUGAUAUAAAGGAGAUGAUGCAGACUGAUUCCAGUUCAAGAAACCUUUAUGACUGAUGUGAUGGAGAUCUGUUCCAGAGCCAUGCUCUAUUUUCAAAACACAACCAAUUCAGAUACAGCUUCUCUAUGAUGAUUUUCAAACUGCAAAUCCUCUUGGAUCAUAAUACAUACAAUAGGAGCAAUCUAUUUCAAUUUAUGGAAUUUUUCUCCAAAAUUCAACUCAUUUCUGCCUAAUAUUCAUUUGGUUGCUUUAUUUCAUGCCCAAGAUGUUAAAACAUAUGGCUUUUCUAAAAUACUUGAUCCAGUUGUGCAGGAUAUUAAAGUACUUGAGAGGGAUGGAAUUAUGGUCCCCUUGUAUGAUCAACCAGUGUAUGGAACUACUGUCCAAGUUACAGGUGACAACCUUGGUCUUCACUGUUUAUUUGGUUUUGUUGAAUUAUUCUGAUAUUUUUGCUGCUUUUGUCUUGCUGAGAAAGAGGACUUUCAAACUGAAUUUGAUGACGAUUCACCCAAGAUAGUUAUGCGAACUCGAGCACUUCAUGCAGAACACUGCCAAAAAAAGGAGCCAAAUCCCAGUCUUCCCUCUGUGAUGGGUGUUAAACGUUCUUGCAUUCUAAACUCCUUGCAGUACUUCAAUUCAUUUGAAAACUUCUGUCGACAUUAUGCAUGAUAUCUUGGUGGGAGUGGCCCAAUAUGAAAUGAAACUGCUAAUACUGCACUUGAUAGACAAGUACACAACAUCAAAUGAAAUAGACAGGAGAAUAAAGAGCUGUAACUAUGGUUACAUGGAGCAAAACAACACACCUCCUGCAGUGAAUUUAGGAGAGGACUCUAAUGACUUGGGGUUAAAUGCUCUCCAGUCCUGGUGUUUACUUCCCAAUCUAGCACUUCUCUUUGGAGACUUAGUUUGUCCCAAUGAUCUACACUGGUAUUUACUAUUGCUGUUGCUUCAGAUAGUAAACAUUGUAUUUUCUCCAAUGAUAUCAAAGGGUAUUACAAUUUUUUUGAAACACUUAAUCACAGAACACCACAGGUUAUUCAAGCAAUUGUUUCCAAAAAAGAGGCUGCUACCGAAGCAUCAUUUUAUGGUGCAUUACCCCACAUGUAUGCUUAAAAUUGGACCAGUUUUGCAUAGCUGGUGCAUGCACUAUGAAGCAAAGCAUAAUUUCUUUUUUUUUUAACAUUUAAAAAGCUUUAAAAAUGUUACUAAAACAUUGGCAAAAAAAACACCAAAGUCAAAUAGCAUACAUUUGACACUAACAGAGUCAUGAUUGGUCCAGGUAAAAUGUUAUCUUUAAAUAUGGUGGACUGGGGCUGUAAGAUGGCUCUUCAGGAACCAAUUGACACCACCGUUUUAAAUGUUAAAUUGGCCAAACACCAUGGAAAUAUGUAUCGUUCAGGUUUAGUUGUUUGUCUAAAGUCCAUUGUGAGAUGACAGUUUUUCAGAAAAUACACCAUGUAGUUGUUAAAGAUGAGAAGUUACUGUUGGUUACUUUUGCCCUACAAACAAUAUGUCUUGAUGAGCAUUUUAAUGCAUAUAGAGUUGGGUGUACAACAGAAGGACCUUAUGUAGUUGAUGAUAAAGAGCUUUUCUGUCACAAAGCAUUUGAUAUACAGAUGUCUUACAGUUGUGAUGAUUCAAGUUUGUUUAUUGUCCCAUACUAUUUCCUGUGAUUGUAAAAACUGCACAAAACCAAGAUGUAUUGUAUUGCAAUUUUGGCUUUUUUAUUUACUUUUAAUAAAAGGGGGCCAGAUGCCAAAAUGUCAUUUUACAGAGGCCACAAUUUUAUUUUAUCAUCAGUGUUUUUGAUAUGUGAGAUGCCAGUUUCACAAAAUCCCCCAUGUCAUUGUUAGAUGUAUUGAAUUGCAAUAUUGAGCUUUUUUAUGUACAUGUAUUAAAAUGAACAGAGGCCAACAUUUCAUUUCAGUCCACAAUUGUAUUUUAUUAUCAUCAGUAUUUU